ensembl:lncRNA
GAAAACCCCAAAAUAACCCGCCUUCACUGUCCAGCUGCUAUUUCUGUCCAUCUUGUUUAAUUAUUCAAACCCAAGUUGGGGAGUGAACUAUAAAAAGCUCUCCUACUUGGGGACCCAGGAGAGCCGGGAGACUCGCCAGGUUGCAAUAGCAGCAGACCACAGGGUUUGGGUGAGGUCACUUGGUCCGGCCUCCUGCCUGGAAGUUCCAUCUGCUGUUUGCCUGCUUCCUCUGCUAGAAGGUUGACUGGAGUUUGACAGAGGGAACCAUCGAUAGGAAAGACUGUAUUCUUUCUCCUCUGCGCCUUGUCACCCAUCCAACCGCAUCUCUAACGGGUCUGAGGACUUGUCAGGAAGCAGCGCAGGCCUUCACUCAUUGUUGACACAGGGCCAUCACCACGCUUCUUCACUUCCCUUAUUGGUGAAGCUCCUAUCCAGAAGGAGCACUUCCGUUCAACAAGUAUUUACUGAGCAGCUAUGAAACUUGCUGGGGGAGUGAUGAGGGAUGGGCCCUGUGGUGCAGAAGGAGUUCCUUCAAGGGCCUCUCCCUCCAGGGAGGUUACUAAUGAGAGGCACUGUGGGGGCCCGGUGGCUGCUUUCACUUGUUUCACAGAGUGGGCUUCCAAGUAAGCUUUCCUCUGAAGAGCUGGGCCACAGCUUAAGUUGUUUGAAACUCCUCUGUGGUCUGUUAUGGAAUAUCCAUGCCAUAGAAUGCCCCACCGCCUUGCAAAGCGGGAAGUGGAUCUGGGCCCACUGAUGCACCAUAGUCUCAGAGACAAAUUGUUCAAUGAAGAAAGGAAGUCUCAGAGCAAUCUAUACAACAGCAGGCCAUUUAUGCAAAUAAGCAGGUGUGGGGAUAUGUGUAUUAAUCAACUCUCUAUAAACUGAGUGGCUUAAAACAACAACUAUCAUUAUAUUAUUAUUGCUGAUGGCUGGGGUUCAGCUGGGUGGUUUUCAGUCGGAGUCUCACGCUGUUGCUUUCUGACAGGCUUUGGGGCGGAGGCUGUCUCACAUGUCUGGCGCCUGGGUGGGAGCACUCAAGCAAGGUGGGGUUGGGAAAAGCUAUGAUCCUUUCUCUCUCUAUUCUCUCUGUGUGGUGUCUCCUGCAUGGGGCUUCAGGGUAGCCAGACUUCUUACAAGGUGGCUUAGGGCUCCAGUAGUGUGUGUCCUGGGAUAGAGAGCCAAGGGGAAUCAAUAUUGCUUCUUCUGCCCUAGCCUUAGGAGUCACCUAACAUCACUUCUGUCAUACGUGGGCGAGGCAGUCACAGAGGCUGCCCAGGUUGUGGGGUAGUGGACGGAGCCUCCAUCUCAGGCAGCAUGGCAAGGUUUUAGAAGAGCAUGUGGAAUGGGAAAUGUUGUUGUGGCCAUUUUUGGAAAAUACACUCUGCUGUACUACGUUCGUAUACAUGAAUGCAAGCGUACAGAGACAAGGCCUGGAUCUGUACCAGACCGUCAGCAAGGCUUGCCUCUGGGGCAAAUGAGGUACAGAUAUGUUUCACCUUUCCUUCAUAUGUAUUACUUGAAUUUUUUUUUUUUUUUGAGGAAGAUUAGCCCUGAACUAACUACUGCCAAUCGUCCUCUUUUUGCUGAGGUAGACUGGCCCUGAGCUAACACCCGUGCCCAUCUUCCUCUACUUUAGAUGUGGGACGCCUACCACAGCAUGGUGUGCCAAGCGGUGCCAUGUCUGCACCCGGGAUCCAACCUGGCAAACCACGAGCCACCAAAGGGAAAUGUGCGCACUUAACAGCUGCGCCACCGGGCUGGCCCCUUGAAUCUUUUACAUUGAGAUGGUAUAUACUUAUUUUGUUUGUUUGAUGGAAAGGAAACAAAAGAGAAAAAAAAGAAGGAGAAAAUAAGCCAACUUUGCUGUAAGCCUUUUAUAAUAAAAGGGUUUAAUAGACUGGUAUUUCUGGGGAAUGUUGCAUAAUACAUCUGAAUUUCAUCAAAGCAUUUAAUUUGGUUGAUUAUAAUAUAUUUUAAAUACGAUGCAGAAAU